CACGGGGGGAGCAAGCGUUGUUCGGAAUUACUGGGCGUAAAGCGCGCGUAGGCGGACCUGCAAGUCGGGGGUGAAAGCCCGAGGCUCAACCUCGGAACUGCCUUCGAUACUGCGGGUCUCGAGUCCGGGAGAGGUGAGUGGAAUUCCUAGUGUAGAGGUGAAAUUCGUAGAUAUUAGGAAGAACACCAGUGGCGAAGGCGGCUCACUGGCCCGGUACUGACGCUGAGGCGCGAAAGCGUGGGGAGCAAACAGG
rnacentral:rRNA from 1 species